GGACAUCACAGCAACUCCUGGAUGUGUGAAGAAUGUACCUAUUUUUAACAUGCUGGAUCAAAUGUCAGCACUGGAUAGGACAUGAGGAAGGGGGAAGGGGCAGACUUGUACAGAUUCUGUGGAUAGUAAAGGGAUCACUGGUGUGUUUACAAUACAGCUAUGCAUUCUUAAUGGCUCUGCCGCUGCCAUGUCAGGGUCUCUAAUGAUCUUACUUGGAGUAAAGGACAGCUUUCAUUUAUUUUGCUUGAGGAGAGAACUGUGCAGCUGCCUGCUUCAGGAAGUGAGGGCUCCAGGAACGAGAAUCUUUAAGAGCUGCCUCACAUUGUGUUGUGUCUGGUCCCUUGGUCCCAUCCCUACAGCAUGAACAAGGUAAGAGGUGCUUUGGAUCAGCACUUGUGUUUUUUCCUUAUGGUACUGUGGUGGGCACAUUCCUUUUUCCAUGCUGUGAGGAGGCUGAUUCUCCUUCUGGAAAGCAUUUCAGAGGUUGGAGAAUUGUAUGAUCCC
rnacentral:lncRNA from 1 species